ACGAUUAAUCCAACAACCGAAAAACUCUUUAAUUUCCCAUAAUCAUCAUCUGAUUUAGGCUAGCACACGACCUCUUCGAUCUUUUCAUAAUAAAAAGAAACCUUAAAAAAACUCAAGUGAUUUUCUCGUACAAAUGCAACAACAACACGAUGACGAUACUAACAAGGUCAUGCGAUUUGAAGAGGAAGAGCUACAAAGUGCAAGAGCUUCAGUAGAAACACUGACUGCCAAUUUGGACAAUCUGAAUCAAAGAAAGGCUGAUGUUUUGAACAAUUUGGAACAAUUACGAGAAAGAAUCAAUAAAGAAGGCGAUGCUACUUAUACCGGGGUGCAGAAAUUAGUCCCUCUUUUGAAGUCACUAAAGGAUUUGGAAUCGCAAGAAUCUGUUUUGCAAUCUGAUUACGAUGUGAAGAGAACUGAAUUGGAAGCUGAAGUUUGUAAUUUGGAGGAGAAAAUAGCUGCUGGGAUGGACAGUGAGGGUUUGUGUAAGGACUUAGAUUGUUUAUUGAGUGAGUCACUGGAGAAACUCAAUGCAGCGAAGAAGGAAUUAGCAGCUAGAUUGAGGGCAGUGAUGUCGGUAAAGCGGAAACUUGGUGAAGUGCCAACACAAUCCGAACUUAUCCAGUAUGAACGUGGGUUUUCAGAUGUGAAUGAUCAUAUCCAGGAAAAACAUCGACAAACCCGCAAAUAUUAUGCAACCUAUAAUACUCUUUUGGAGAUUAAAGAAUUGAUGCUAAAGGAAACUUCUUUAUUGAAUUCAAUAAGUUCACAGUUUCAGGAUGCCAUUACAACUACCAAUGGUUGCACAAAACUGAUUGCUUCCAUGGAAGGAAUUGUCAAGGGCAGCCAACAGAAGCUGCAAAAGGUCGAACUUGGGCUUCAAGAAGAGCAGAAGGUUUCUGAUGCUCUCAAGAAGAGGUAUGCUGCAGCCAUUGCAGAGCAAAGGCGCUGCUAUUCCCUCUUGAAGGCUUUUCAGGAAGAAUGUGCAAAGAAUGAGAGACUUCGGGGCCAGACUUCUGUUUAAAACGCCACUGCUGCCUCUCGUCUAUUGUCGAAACGUCUAAGUAUCAGUGCAUCACUAUUGACUCUUGAGCCGUGCCAUAACUCUUGCAGUGCUGAUCUCUUAGAUCAGAAGGAGAGCAUUAUUGCCAUUGAAAAUAUAACGAUGCCGGUCUUAUUCCUUGGAGGUUCUUCAUACAAGGUAAGUUGACUCCAUAUAUUAUCUGCAGUAAAACCUAACAGGAUCCAUUUAAGAGAGGAGAAAAACCAACAGGAUCUCAUCUCAUUUAGUUUCUCAUAGAAAUGAACACAUUCUGUUAGAAUUUUGAGUAGGCACACGUCCAUGCUGCUUAGCUUUCCUUGCUGGAAUCCAGAUGCAAUUGUGAUGUGAUGCAAUCGGUGAUUUAGAUUGUGUAAAUGCUAUUAAACAUGUUUUAGGUUCCGUUUCAAUUGCUCUUCGCCAACCUUUUCUUGGGGUGAUUUAACAGCUCUACUGGGGCAAAAGCAACAGAUAUCUUGAGUUUGAUACUUUCCAUUCUCAUGCAUAAAGAAUUUUGUAUUCGGUAUUUGUCUUGCAUGAACCUGACAUUAUCAGUGGAAGAAGUCGAUAGCAGGACUAUACACGAACCUAUACGGCCAUACCCCUCAAAAGCAUCUUAAAUUUAAAAUACUUUCCUAAUGGCUACCGUUUAUGUGAAAGCAUUGAGCGGGAGAGACUCGCCAAGACUUCAUUUUGUAUGCUCUUAGAACAUUAAUGAGAGAGAGCAGCAGGAGCAACAGCUGGAUCACGAUAUCUCCUGAAAUAGCUUGUAACUUCAGUAUCUAUCACCUGACUAGAACUUUUUCCCUUUUCUCUUUUUCUUGGCAUUAAAGUUAAAACAUCCCUUGUCCUAUUUGUAUGACAAAUUAUCUCCCCUGGGGCCACCAA